rnacentral:lncRNA from 1 species
UUAAUCGAGAAAAAUUCAGUUAACGAAUAGGAACACAUGAAAAUUUUAAAACAAAAUAUUAUGGGUCUAUUUCUACACUUAUUUGUCUCGUUUCACAUUACUUAAAAAUAGAAAUUAGUCAUUUUCAAAUUGAGGUCAAACUAGUGCAUCUUCAGGUGUGUAAGAUAAUACUAUUUUUAGAUAUCGGUUUUCCGAGAAAAUAACGUAAAGUAAUUCCCAUUUCCCAAGAGCAGUUUUGCUGCAGAAAGUUGUAUAGACCUUCAUUACAGGAAAUAAUUUGUUGGUCGGUAAGUACAAUUGCAUCCAAGAUUAAUUCAAUAUAUAAAACUAUACACUUUUCCUCAAUGAUAAAAACACAUAUUGGACCAGACAUUAUACAUGUUAUAAUCGUUUUCAACAGCUAUAUAUAUAUUACUUUUAUUUCUUACACGACGGGUUCCACAUGUGGACCUGCUUACCCUUUCGAAGCACCUCCGGUCUCCCAAAUUUUUGAUAGGGUUCGUGUUGAUUAGUCUUUAGUUUUCUAUGUUGUGUCUAGUGUACUAUUGUUUGUCUGUUUUCUUCUUCUUUUUUAACCAUGUCGUUGACAGUUUGUUUUCGAUUUAUGAGUUUGAAUGUCCCUCUUGUAUUUUUCGCCCCUCUUUUACCCCCUUCCACUGAUGGGGAGUGUUCUCAUGGGACAUAAAUUUUUCUUUAGGAUAUUUUUUAAUUUGAUAGUUAUGGAGGGCGGCUUUUUACAUAUAUAAACAGAUUAGGGAUCACUUGCCCUGCGAAUUCCAGAAUUAUAACUUUUGAAAUGUUAAUGUAAUUUUUUCCACAUCACCUGUGACGAACAAAGAGCCUCAAUUGCCAACUUAUAUCUGAAACGCGUUGUCUGUAGAUAGUUACAAUUUUACCACUGCGGUAUACAUGUACGUAUUAAAAUUUUAACGCGUUUCAUCAAUAAGGGGUUGACAGAUAUCAGAGUAAACAAACUUAUAAUAAUUACAUGUAAAAUAGAGAGCUAUUUUUAGUGAAAUACGUGUUUUCAUAAAAUAACUACAGGCUAUAUUGAGGAAGUAAUUUUGUCAUUGAGAUUUUUAAUAUUGUUUAUAUUUAAAUCACCAGUUUGAACUAUGUCUUUAUUUGCAGAAAGCGCAAGGUGAAUUGAAUGAUAAAAAUUAUUAAAAGUUCGUUUUGAACUAUUUUGGGGUAUGUAAAAUGUUCAACAUGUUCAACAUGAAAAUGGUUUAUUUUUAGUAGUGGUAAUUUAUUUCUAACCAAACACAUUCAGGGGCGGAUGCAGGAAUUUUCGAAAGGGGGGGGGGGUGCUACCCAGGGCAAAAAGGGGGGGGGGGUGCAAAACAUAUGUCCCGAUACAAAUGCAUUGAUCGGCAAAAAUAAAGGGGGGUGUGGCACCCCCGGAACCCCCCCCCCCUGGAUCCGCCACUGCACAUUUGAAGCGACCGGAUUGCAAGUCGGUACAUGGACGCAGAUACUAUUUUCUUUUAUAUAGUACGCUUAAUUAACUAUUAUCCUUGUGCUAUACGCUUCCAUGCAACCGCCGACGCGAUUAGUUCUAUUAUUACGAAACAUGUUUUAUGAUGCUAUUGAAAUGUCGGUAUCAUUUACAAAUGGAUUAAGCCAGCUCUCAGUAAAUUACACCAAAUUGUCUAAAUGGUCAUUUUCGAUAGACAGAGGCUACGACCCAGUCCCUUCUUUAAUAAUGUGGUCAUUUUUAUAAAUUUACCAUUUACAAAAGUUUGAAUUUUUCGAAAAACUAAGGAUUUUCUUAUCCCAGGCAUAGAUUACCUUAGCCGUAUUUGGCACAACUUUUUGGAAUUUUGGAUUCUCAAUGCUCUUUCAACUUUGUACUUGUUUGGCUUUAUAAAUAUUUUGAUAAUGAGCGUCACUGAUGAGUCUUAUGUAGACGAAACGCGCGUCUGGCGUACUAAAUUAUAAUCCUGGUACCUUUGAUAACUACUUUACCCUUGAAAUCUGCUCAUUGUGAAGACAAGGGGAUUGGAUCGUAACCCCGUGGAUGGCGAAGAUGCAAAACUUUUCACCUCAUUGGUCACAUUAAUAACUAUCUGUGUCAGAAACCUAUAUAUAUGAUGUUUCAAAUAUUCAAUCCUAAUCCAAAUUCAGAGCUAUAUCAAGCUGGAAUGUAGUGUCCAUACUUCCUUUAACUAUUCAGGGUUUGAUCAAUGCAAUCAUAUCUAAAUACGCACUGAUUUUGAGCAUUUUAUUGAAAUAUUGCGUAUUGAAUAAAAAUAUAGCUAGCUGGAGAUUGACAAGAAAAUAAAUUGCGUACACAUUUUUGUUGUUGUUAAAAUCAUAUUAUUUUAUGUUCAAUAUCUAUAGACGGUGAAGACAUGGAAGCAACGUCAUCAAAUUUACCACUACACAGCGAGAAACAGCAUGGAAUUAAAAAGGUAAAACUUUGAACUUUAAUUUGUAUUUAAUGUAGAAGGUAAUCUUGAUAUUUAGAUCUUCUCGAUGCUCGUCCAAGAUUAACUUGUGUUUGAGUUCAUUUGCCGUGGCAAAAAUUACAUAUACAGUCUAUAAUGAAAAAGUUCGAAUCUAUAGAUUGAUUUAAAUUACAUGGUUGAGGUCAUUAUCUAGCUGACUGCCCUCUAAAACUACCAAAUAUUAUUAUUUAUUCCAGAAGCUUUACAAAUUGAUAAAGAUUGUCCUUGGAGGUGUCGUACUGGUAUUGGCAUGUUAUAUAGCUUAUUCCAUUUCUCAAACAAAGUAAGUACUAAGAGCAAGGAUAUCACGCCACCUAAAUGACACUUUAAUUUAAGAUGCGUGUUUGAAGGUCAACAACAAUAAUCAAUAGAACAAAGUAAUAGUGUCUUCAUAGUUGUUCUUAUAUAAUAACAACUGCUUGAAGGUCUUUAGAAGGAACUAAAAAAAUAUUUGUAACAAUCAGAUAUAUAAAGAUGCUCCAUAGUGUGGACCUUUAAGGAAGUGAAACUUGUAAUGGGAGAAAUCUUCUUGAGUGAUAAUGAACUUUGAACGUCCUGUGUUACUUCGUUUCUCUGCUUUUCUGACCCUAAUAUCAAUGUGAAUCAGAAUCGAAACAUAACUUCAAAUCCUGUCACUAAAAAAUUGACCGAAUGACAUAUUGUAAAAUUUUGUAAUUCAUUAACAGUUAAAGUAAAAAACACAGGCUUAGAAAAUCAUUUGUUUUUUCUCCAAUUAGGGCAGAUACAUCAUUGUUGUUCAUUCUGCAUAUUGGAGUCAUGGUCUUUUUUAUAAAAUUUGUCAUGGCAUUUAAUUACUUUUUGGGAUCAUGAUUUUGAGGAGACAUAUGCCAAAGUACAUGUAAUGUUUCGAUGUAAUGCUUCUGUUCUUUUUUUUGUUUAUCCUGACACGUUUCCUGGUCUUCAUUUGUAGUGAAAUAAAGAAAAAUGAUGAAAAACAAACACUCAUUGCAAGUGAGUCAGAAAAGCUGCUAGCCAGUUCAGUUAAAAACAUGGACUUAAAUGUCGGUAAGUUCAUAUAUAGUGUUUAGUUUCUAGAAUGAUGUUUUGCCAAACAAUAAUUCCAUUCCUAUCUGUAACGAUUAGAGCAUUUCCGGUUAUCACCAGUUUGAUUGCAAUUUUCUUAACUCUAUAUGUUUGUCUUUCUCACACAUUGUUGUCAUACUUAGCUAGCUUUAAAUCCUGUCAAUCUUCAAUUUUCUACAUACGAAAAUGCCUGUACCGCAUCAAGAAUAUGGCAUUUUUUCUGUUCGUUUGAUGUGUUUGAGCUUGAUUUUUCCGUUUGAUGAAGGACAUUCCUUUUGAAUUUUCCUUUCAUUGCAGUCCUAUGCCAUGUUAUAUUUGGUUUUGACCUCUCUUGUCCAUCGUGUAGCUAGAUGUCUCUAGUUUAAUACAGAACGCAUGUUGAAGUAUGUCUUUGUUUAUGAUAAGACGUGGAAAUAUUUGUUUUGAUGUGUUAAAGAUAUAAAUGAAGGCAGAUACAUUUAUAUCAUAUUUUGUGACUCUGUUUUGGAUUUUUUUUGUCCUCAAUGCUCUUCAACUUCGUAUUUUAUCGGGCCUUUUUACAUUUUUUGAUUCGAGCGUCACUGAUGAGAUGAAACGAUCGUAUGGCGCAAAUAUAAAAUUUCAAUCCUGGUAUCUAUGAUGAUAUAAAAAAAGAAGAUGUGGUAUGAUUGCCAAUGAAACAAAUCUCCACAAGAGACCAAAUGACACAGAAAUUAACAAUUAUAGGUCACCAUACGGCCUUCAGCAAUGAGCAAAACCAAUACCGCAUAGUCAGCAAUAAAAGGGCCCGAAUUGACAAAUAUUAAACAAUUCAAACGAAAAAAAUAACGACAUAAUUCAUGUACAGAAAAUGAACGAAAAACAAAUAUGAAACACAUCAACAAACUACAACCACUGAAUUACAGGCUCCUGACAUGGGACAGACACAAACAUCCAGAAUGUGGCGGCGUUAAACAUGAGUUCAUUUACAUACAAGAUUUUUACAAAUACUAGAAUAUGCUCAUUCCGCACCUUCAUAUUUUCAUAUCAGGUGCUUUGGAUAAAUCUUGCGUGGAACAGAAUACAGCAAAUACUUGCCAUUACCUUCAUAUUUUUAGCUCACUUUAAUUUCUAUAUUUUCUCAUCACUUGGCGUCCGUCGUCCGUCGUCGUCGCCCGUUAGCUAUUAGAAAAAUCUUCUCUUCUGAAACUACUGGACCAAAUGAAACCUAACUUGGCCUAAAUCAUCCUUAGGAUUUUUAGUUCAAAAUAAAAAAUAUAACCGAAUACCCCGCCCAUCAACCAAUAUGGCCAUUUAAAAAACAGAACAUGGGAUAAAAUUCAGUUUUUGGCUCAUAACUCUCAAACUAAAGCAUUUUAAACAAAUUUGACCGGUAUGAAACAGUUCAUCAGGUCAAGACCUAUCUGCCCUAAAAUUAUCAGAUGCAUCUGACAACCUGUUGAUAGGGUUGCUGUCUUAGAAUUGGUAAUUUGAAGGAAAUUUUGCACUUUUUGGUUAUUAUCUUGAAUAUUAUUAUAGAUAGAGAUAAACUGUAAACAGCAAAAUUGUUCAGCAAAGUAAGAUCUACAAAUAAGUCAAUUGACCCCAGUAGGAGUUAUUGUCCUCCGUAGAAAUUUUUGACAAUUUUUUUGUAAUUCUUUCAUGAUAAUUUUUUACAAAAAAAUCUUCUCCUCUGAAACAAAUAGGACGAAUUUAAUCAAACUUGGCCACCAUCAUUAUUAAGGUAUCUAGCUAAAAAAUGUCAGAUAACGCUGUCUACCAAACAAUUGGUCUGACAUCACUAAAAGUAGAACAUAGGGGUAAAAAGCAAGUUUUGUCUAUUAUUUUUUUAACCGUUAUAGAUAGAGAAAAUCUGAAAGGAAAAAAUAUGCUCAGAAAAAUGAGCUCUACCAACUGUCCAUAUAUACGUUAAAAUUGUUAGACAAAUUCUUAUAGGAGUUAUUGCCCAUAAUGUAAAAUUUUACGAUAUUUUUUUUUUCAUUUUUGCCGUUUAUCAUUAAAUCUAUGAUAUUUAGAAAGAAACAUUUUUCUUCUAUUAUGCCUCAUAAUGAUAGAUAAAAACACUCUAAAUCACAAAAAUGAUCAGCAAGGCAAGAUCUAUUAAGGAUGUUAGCUACUCUGAUAAAAAAUAACAAGCUUUUUAAAAGACUAUUAUGAAUUGAUAGGAUAUAAAUAAUGAAACUAACAAAGUCGAAAAAAAUGGAGGGUCCAUGUGCUUGUUUUAGAGAUAUAAGCCAUUGAAAAUUUGGCGGGAAAUUAUUCUCUCUAGAUUUUUCAUAUAUUUAACAUUGACAUCUUUUUUGUUUCUAACACUAUGAAAAAAUAACAAGAAUUUUAUAAAAUUUUGAAAUAUGGCUUUUUAAACUUUAUGUAAUAAAAUUAUCGAAAGAAAAUUAGGGGUUAAUGGGCAAAAUUUUUUAAUGACUAUACAUGGAUAAAACCUGAGGAUUCCGAAAAUCUGGCAAAAAGUCAAAAAAUGGAGGAGCAAACAUCCCUAAUAAGUCAAAGAAUCUAAAAAGACUAAAAGAUCAGUAAUACAAGAGCAACAAAACAGAAAAUUUUGUCAUGGUCUACAAUGUUGGUGUGCUUUGUGUGAUAUGUCCAUAUACCAAGGUGAGUGACACAGGUUCUUUAGAGCCUCUAGUUUUUAUUUUAAUAUCAAAGAAUUAUUUAACUAUACUUAUGUAGUACCUGCUUGUCGAAAACUAAUUUCUGGUGUUACUAGGUGGAGGGUAAUGACUUGUUAUUGUAAAAGGUUUAUCUUUUGGAUUUAAAUAGCUUCAUUGAACUUCAUGCCAUUGUGAUAUUUGGGCACUUUUUUCUUUGAAAAGGAUCGAUUCUUAUUAAGCAUACUACCAUAUCUUUCAGUUAUGAGGAAUGAAGAUCGCUUACAGAAAUGUCAGGGAACUCAAUUCAAACGGACAUUUCCCGAUGUGGACUAUGCUUUCUUUGGAUAUAACAUUUUAAAAGGAUAUCCACUCAAUAUAGGACAUGACCCAGGAUUCACUUUGCCAAUUUUUAAAGCAGAUUAUAGUGAAGGCCUCCAAACUUCAGAUUGUAGGUACUUUAUUCCCAGAGGAUUGGUUAUCGUUCCGGAUGUUUCCUGUAUAACGGACUUUACUUCUAAAACGAUACAAACAAGAUAUGAAUUCAUAGAAUCGUUGUCAAUCUCCGCAAACGUAAAAGCAAGUCCACCGACAAAAUCGUCAGGUGGCAAAAAAUCAAAAAAAUUUAGUGGAGAAUUUAAAGCUAGUGGUGGGUAUCAGGAUUCAUCAAAUGAAUUAUCGAACAGUAAGUCAGUUUACAUACUUUCUACUGCUGAAUGUAAUUACUAUUUCAGUAAACUUAUGACGGAUAAUGCUCCUCCGUUUUCCGACUCUUUCUUAAGAUGGAUACGUAAGCUUGCAGCAACCGACGAGCAACAAAUGUAUUUUAAUUUUUUCGAAACUUACGGGACUCAUUUUCAAAUUUAUACUACGUUUGGCGCGAGAUAUACAUUCGAACAUAAAAUGAAAACUAAAACAUUUAUUUCUGAAAAGCGUAAAGGGUUUAAUUUCGGCAUAUUUGGUGAGAUCUUUUCCAAGAUUAAUGUCGGCUUAGGAUUUAAUAUUGCAAAAGAAGAAAGAGAAAAAGUCGAAAAGAUUUCAAAAGAUAUUGAAACGAAAACCAUUACCGUAGGUGCUCCACCUCCAGCAAACGGCGAUGCAACAACCUGGGCAUCCAACGUCAAAGAGAGCCCAGUCCCUAUGAAGUAUGAACUAGAGUCAAUUGACAACUUAUUCACUGAAACCUAUAUGGCAGGUUUAAAUGUAAACUACCAAAGAAUAUCGUUAAACAUUGAAAAGAAUAAAGCCGAAUACUGUGAAUAUCUCAAAGAUCUUGGGCAGCUAGAUUCAUGUGAGAUACCACCUCCAGGUUUAGUUUUGAAGAAAACAAGACUAUUCGCACACUUUAAGGAACAGAAAGUCUCAACAAAUCGUCAGUGCAUCGACACGUGUCUUCAGCUGAGUGACUGUGAAGCUAUAACAAUAUGUCCGUUGUGUGUCACUGCUGACCUGGUCUGUCAUAUGUUUAAUAACGUCUUUAAGAAUGACUCUGACACGUCGUAUAGAAUAAGAGCUGAGACUGAUAAAACAGAUAAAGAAUGGGAAACAAUGAUGUUCAUAUCAAAAAUCAAUAGUAGGAUGAUAAUGAUAAGCACAACUGUUGUGGGCGCUCAGCGGUCAUCGGAUACGGACACAAAAAAUAUAAAUACCCCAGACGGAUGUUAUAGGUUAUGUUUUAAUGAUGAGCACUGUGUUGCAUAUACCUUCCAUCAUGGGAUAGAGAAUAAAGUAACAAAAUGUCGCUUUUUUUCAGAGACUGGAAUAACAGGAUUGACUAAAGAAAUCGGAACUGACACUUAUUUUAUACCUUACGGUCAUCCAUAAAGAAUAUAGUUUCUCGAUAAUCGCCUUUCGCUGUGGAGGGAUAUAGUUUCUCGAUAAUCCCCCUUUAUUGUUGAUUGAAAUACAUGUAGUAAUCAUCGAAUAAGACCAGACCAUGACAAUUGAAGUCUAUUGUGUACCUUACAAGAAUCUUCAAUAUUACUCAUGAUAUGAAACAAGCGCUUAUUAUUCAUUAAUUCUCCCAAUACAGGAAACAAACAAAAAUCAUGCAUCCAUAGAAUUUCAUAAAUUUACAGACCUAAUAGUUUAAGUAAAAUGUAUAUAAAAAUCUUCUCAACGUUAUUAUUUCAACCAUGUUUUGUAGUAGCUACUCAGCAUAACGAGGUUUGUAUAGUUCUAAAUAUAGAAAAAAGAAGAUGUGCGUAUGAUUGCCAACUCUUCUCAAGAAGCCAAAUGACACAGAAAUUAACAACUAUAGGUUACAUUUCAGCCUUCAACAAUGAGCAAAGCCUAUCCCGUAUAGUCAGCUGUAAAAGCCCAGAAAUGACAAAUGUAAAACAAAUCAUACGAGAAAACUAACUAUAACGGCCUCCUUUAUGUUAAAAAAAAGUGAACGAAAAACAGAUAAGUAACACAGCAUCUAACAACAACUAAAAUACAGGCUCCUGACUUAGGACAGGCACAUACAUACAGAAUGCGGCGGUGUUAAACAAAUGUUUUAUGUCGGUUCUUUGUGUAAAAAAGUGUGAAAACGCAUUUUCGAUCAGCCACGAAAAAUGCAAAUUGGUAUCUGUAUGUUCACAGAUAUCGCAGAUCUAGAGUUGCGCUAACUGGCAAUUUAUGCAAAGUCAAACAAUAUUUCAUCUUUGUGCUUUUAAAGUUGGUGGUAUUUGAUAUUGAUUGCUCCUAAUGGCACACUGAAGUAGCAAACCGUGCACAAUUCUGACAUUAAUAUCUCAGUGAUAUAUAGAUUAAUCCUAAAAAGUAAAAUACUUUAUAACUGUACUUAUUAUCAAAUUGUCGCAACAAAAUUAAGAAUGUAUGGUUAAGAAUGCCAUAUAUGACUUAAAAGUAACAAGUAUGAUUAAGUGAGAGAUAUUUUAGAAACCAUAAAGUAUAGCCAAAUCCGCUAAAAGAGCAUCAUCGACAAUAGUUUUGUUUUCUUGACUGGUUUCAUCAAUAUAAUGAGGCAUAGAUUUUAGAAGGCUCUAUAGCACCAUCAAUUUUGUUUAGUUCAUAGUACCUGUCCCUCUGUCCCUCUUUUAAUGUUUCCCCCUUUUCAAAACCUAUCAAGUCCACAUCUCAACCUGUUCUCCCCUUUUUGCCACCGAACAUCAACACGUAAGACUUGUCGUUUUGGUCUGUGUCGGAUUUCAUCUUUAUCAUUGAUGUAAGUAUUCCGGGCGGCAUUUCAGUUUCAAAAUUGUUUCCUAAUGGAUUAAUGUCUCUUAAACUGUUGUAACUUGGACAGGGUUUUUUGAAUGUAUUGGAUCUAGUAGUUGACUCUCGCCUUGUAGGUAUGCUGUUUCAUUUCCAAGACUAGACAUGAAUCUUAUAAAACGUCCACCAAAUACACCAAAAAUUGCGCAGUGUCCUUUGAAUACCUCAUUUGUCUCGUAUCAUUUAGAUCAUACAUUUGGACAAGGUCAUAAGCGUAAAUGUAAUAUUAUCCUUUGGAAAUUUGUUGUCGUAGAUCAGUUUCAUAAAGUUAAUAAAAGAAUUAUCGCGAUCUACCUCAGAUAGGUCAUCCAGAACCUCUGGUAAAAUCUGUGUUGCGUAAGCCAAUUUUUAAAAUUUGGUAUCAGCGUUUUCUUCUGUCCCUACUUCAUCCCUGGCUUCGUCACAUUGUAAAUAUCCUUUAUGGCUGCUGCUCAGUAAAGUCAUUUUUCCAGACUUUUCUUUCUAGGUGGGGAUUUGUAUCUUGUAACGUCCUCACAAAAUCUCUUCCUGCUGUAAUUUUUGGGUUUGAUUCUGGAUAAGGAUAUCCCUUUUUUUCUGUUCCCUUUAAUUUUUUACAUUUGGAACCCGCAAAGACAAGCAAAUAAAUUUAGAGGUGAACUUUUUCAGCAAGCAUUACAAAAAUAAAGAUGUUUUUUUUAUUAGAAAACUGGAUUAUUGAGAUGUGUAACUAUAUAUUAUACUAAGAGCAAUUUUAUGAUCUAAAUUUAUCGUAGUGUGUUAUUACGUUACCAUCAACUCAAACUCGGUACGUUUUAAUCAUAUAUGAUACCUUCAAACCAUAUCCUCCUAGUUUUGAAUUGAUAAAAUGAUAAUUAAGACAUAUGGCUGUACCUGUAGAAAACUUAUUAAAAAUGGUAUUUCACAUCUUAAAUUUUAUGGUUAUAUUGUACUUAAAGCGAGGAAAUCACUAUGUGAUCCGUGUAAACUUAUCGAACUUUUUAACAAACUUAUAAGUAAGGGUUAUAGUACCAAUAUUGUAAUUAGAUCUCUGAAUAUAGUUUACAUUGGCACUAAUAUCGAUUUUGUCAUUAGCAAAUUAAAACAUAAGUAAAUUGUAUCUUCUUUUGAGGCGGGAUGUAUUGAGACAUUCAGAUAUCGCAGAUCAAAUUUAUAAGUUCAUAGUGUAUUAAUUUACGUCUUUUGAUUGAGUUAAGCCUGCCAAUUGAUAUUUUAUCGUAUGUUUUUCUAUGUUGUGAUGUUAUGCUAUUGUUUCAGAAAAAGGGAGAAGGUUUGGAUCCAUUAAAAGUUUAAUCCCGUUGCAGAUGUUUGCACCUGUCCUAAGUCAGGAAUCUGAUGUACAGUAGUUGUCGUUUGUUUAUGUAAUUCAUACGUGUUUCUCGUUUCUCGUUUUUUUUAUAUAGAUUAGAACGUUGGUUUUCCCGUUUGAAUGGUUUUACACUAGUAAUUUUGGGGCCCUUUAUAGCUUGUUGUUCGGUGUGAGCCAAGGCUCCGUGUUGAAGGCCGUACAUUGACCUAUAAUGGUUUACUUUUUUAAAUUGUUAUUGGGAUGGAGAGUUGUCUCAUUGGCACUCACACCACAUCUUCCUAUAUCUAUAUAUACACAUCUCGCAACGUAUAAUUGAUAUAUAUUAAUUAGUCAUUUUGGAAAAACUUUUACUUUUUUGUAAGUUUAUCUGUGAUAAUUAAUAUUUUUCUAUUGUUAUUUCUUAUUUUUAAAGCUCAG